UUUCACUACUUUCAAUGUAGUGCAUCAACAAUUGGUGCGGUAAGCGUUGAUCAAAUCCCUCAAAGAGUUUGUCGUUCUCUGUGAUGUUGAGGUCUCUGUCAUCGUCUCUUCAAUACUGACAAAACUCCUUAGGUUUUCCAUUUCUGGUUCAAAAAACAGCAGCUAAGAAGCAGUAGUGCCCAGUGGCGAUGGGGAGAUGUCGAGAGGAAGCGAACGGCAUCGGCAAAAGAUACAUGCACCAAUUGCGGUUUCACGGUUUUAUGGUUUUCUGCUUUCUGCUUCUAAUCCCUUUUAAGCUCCCACAUCCCUAAUCUGAUCUAUUUAUUCUCUAAUUUAAUCUAUUUAUUUCCUUUUUGAAUUUGAUUGUUUACUUAGCAUUACAUGGCUAGCACAUUUCUAAUCUGAGGAUAAAGGGAACAAUUUUUUCUGAAAACAGUAAUACAGUAGUAACUACUACUAUCUGAACUGAUAUAAAAGCUUCUCUACAUCAUACAAUUUACAUGUCACCAAAAUCCUCAAUCUUGGCUCAAGUUAAAAUUGGUUUGCUUUUACAGCUACCUGCAUUUUAUUUUUGGUAUGAUAUGCCUUCCUUUUCUUGUAAUUUGUACUUCUACUUCUUCCUUAAACUAGUCAUCUUCUGAAUUUACUUUCGGAGUUAUCUAUUUUGACUUUGUUUACGGGUAAGUGCUCAAAUUUUUGAACCAUCAAGUUAGCUAGUUAAUGGAAAAAGCUGAUUUUAAUGUGAAUUUGCAGCCUCAUCACUAAAGCGUCCCAGUUAAGUUUCCUUGCUCUCAUGAAAUUGCAAAUUUUCUAUCUUUAGCCAGAAAGUUUAAUAAUUUUUUUUGUAGCUGAGAGCUGUGAUGCCGUUGUAUACAUGAUGUUUUAGGCAUUAAUGGUCCAUCUAAGACGUGAAGGGUCUGCCGAAGUUGAAUGGUUGAAUAAAUUACAAAAUCAUUGGAGAGAACUCCUACAUGGAAUAAGGAAGGGAGUAGAAGCACCAAAUAUUGCAGCAGGAAAGAAAGAAGUUCAUCGGAAUAAUAAAAAUGCGGUGAACUAAUAUUUUUGGAAAUUAGUGAAUGUUCUAGAUCUGAUAGAUUCUGCUUUGCGUAUACUGUGCGUCUUCAAAUCGUAGCGUCAAAACCAAAUUAACUAACAUUGUUUUCUCUUUUAAUUUUUAAACAUUAUUUCUUGCAAUUAAUGUUACCAACUUUUAUUUUUUUAUUAUAAAAUUCCAUAAUUACUUUAA
rnacentral:lncRNA from 1 species